rnacentral:rRNA from 1 species
CGCACCUACGGGGGGCAGCAGUGGGGGAUAUUGGACAAUGGGGGAAACCCUGAUCCAGCGACGCCGCGUGAGUGAAGAAGUAUUUCGGUAUGUAAAGCUCUAUCAGCAGGGAAGAAAGAAAUGACGGUACCUGAGUAAGAAGCCCUGGCUAACUACGUGCCAGCAGCCGCGGUAAUACGUAGGGGGCAAGCGUUAUCCGGAUUUAUUGGGUGUAAAGGGUGCGUAGACGGGAAAACAAGUUAGUUGUGAAAUCCCUCGGCUUAACUGAGGAACUGCAACUAAAACUAUUGUUCUUGAGUGUUGGG